rnacentral:rRNA from 1 species
AACGAACGCUGGCGGCGUGUUUAAGACAUGCAAGUCGCACGGGAUAAGACAUGUAGUAAUACUUGUUUUAUUUAGUGGCGCACGGGUGAGUAACACGUGAAUUACAUGCCCUAUAGUGGGGAAUAGCCCAGGGAAACUUGGAUUAAUACCCCAUGGUAUCGAAAGAUUAAAGGUGGCCGCAAGGCUGUCGCUAUAGGAUUGGUUCGCGCCCUAUCAGCUUGUUGGUGAGGUAACGGCUCACCAAGGCAAUGACGGGUACCUGGUCUGAGAGGACGAUCAGGCACACUGGAACUGAGACACGGUCCAGACACCUACGGGUGGCAGCAGUCGAGAAUAAUUCACAAUGGGGGCAACCCUGAUGGUGCAACGCCGCGUGGAGGAUGACGGUCUUCGGAUUGUAAACUCCUGUCAUCUGGGAGAAAGACCUGACGGUAAAUAGCCGGCAGGGUUGAUAGUACCAGAAGAGGAAGGGACGGCUAACUUCGUGCCAGCAGCCGCCGCUG